GAUGAACGCUGACAGAACGCUUAACACAUGCAAGUCAACUUGAAUUUGGGUUUUUAACUUAGGUUUGGGUGGCGGACGGGUGAGUAACGCGUAAAGAACUUGCCUCACAGCUAGGGACAACAUUUGGAAACGAAUGCUAAUACCUAAUAUUAUGAUAAUAGGGCAUCCUAUAAUUAUGAAAGCUAUAAGCGCUGUGAGAGAGCUUUGCGUCCCAUUAGCUAGUUGGAGAGGUAACGGCUCACCAAGGCGAUGAUGGGUAGCCGGCCUGAGAGGGUGAUCGGCCACAAGGGGACUGAGACACGGCCCUUACUCCUACGGGAGGCAGCAGUGGGGAAUAUUGGACAAUGGACCGAGAGUCUGAUCCAGCAAUUCUGUGUGCACGAUGAAGUUUUUCGGAAUGUAAAGUGCUUUCAGUUGGGAAGAAACAAAUGACGGUACCAACAGAAGAAGUGACGGCUAAAUACGUG
rnacentral:rRNA from 1 species